rnacentral:rRNA from 1 species
AUACGGAGGAUCCGAGCGUUAUCCGGAUUUAUGGGUUUAAAGGGUGCGUAGGUGGUUUGAUAAGUCAGCGGUGAAAGUUUGCAGCUUAACUGUAAAAAUGCCGUUGAAACUGUCGGACUUGAGUGUAAAUGAGGUAGGCGGAAUGCGUGGUGUAGCGGUGAAAUGCAUAGAUAUCACGCAGAACUCCGAUUGCGAAGGCAGCUUACCGGGGUACAACUGACGCUGAGGCACGAAAGUGUGGGUAUC